GCCAGCAUGGUGUAGUGGUUUGAGCAUUGGGCUAUAACUCUGGAGAUCAGGGUUUGAUUCCCCAGUUGGCC